GGGUAACCGGAAGGCAUAUUUAGUGGCGAACGGGUGAGUAAUGCAUGAGAACGUAUCCUCAAGAGGGGGACAACAUUGGGAAACCGAUGCUAAUACCCCAUAAGCCGGGAGGUAAAAGGAGCAAUCCGCUUGAGGAGCGGUUCAUGUCCUAUCAGCUAGUUGGUGAGGUAACGGCUCACCAAGGCGAAGACGGGUAGCCGGCCUGAGAGGGUGAACGGCCACACUGGAACUGAGAGACGGUCCAGACUCCUACGGGAGGCAGCAGUGGGGAAUAUUGGGCAAUGGGGGAAACCCUGACCCAGCGACGCCGCGUGAGGGAAGAAGGCCUUAGGGUCGUAAACCUCUGUUGUGUGGGAAGAAGAGCGUGACGGUACCACACGAGGAAGUCCCGGCUAACUACGUGCCAGCAGCCGCGGUAAUACGUAGGGGACGAGCGUUGUCCGGAUUUACUGGGCGUAAA
rnacentral:rRNA from 1 species